rnacentral:rRNA from 1 species
AGAGUUUGAUCCUGGCUCAGGAUGAACGCUAGCGGCAGGCCUAAUACAUGCAAGUCGAACGGUGAUAGCAAUAUCAUAGUGGCGCACGGGUGCGUAACACGUAUGCAACCUACCUAUUAUUGGGGGAUAGCCUUUGGAAACGGAGAUUAAUACCGCAUAAUACGAUUGACUGGCAUCGGUUGAUUGUUAAAGCUUUGGCGAUAAUAGAUGGGCAUGCGUCCAAUUAGUUAGUUGGUUAGGUAACGGCUGACCAAGACGAUGAUUGGUAGGGGAUCUGAGAGGAUAAUCCCCCACACUGGCACUGAGAUACGGGCCAGACUCCUACGGGAGGCAGCAGUAGGGAAUAUUGGGCAAUGGGCGGAAGCCUGACCCAGCCAUGCCGCGUGCAGGAAGAAGGCGUUAUGCGUUGUAAACUGCUUUUUUAUAGGAAGAAGGAUCCCUUGCGAGGGAAGGUGACGGUACUAUAAGAAUAAGCACCGGCUAACUCCGUGCCAGCAGCCGCGGUAAUACGGAGGGUGCAAGCGUUGUCCGGAUUUAUUGGGUUUAAAGGGUGCGUAGGCGGUUUAUUAAGUCAGUGGUGAAAGACGGUCGCUACACGAUUGCAGUGCCAUUGAUACUGGUA